AGUCAUUUCUUUCUUUCAUUGAUUUUCUUUUAGUCAUUUGAUUUUGAAUUUAUUUACUUAUUUUCUAAUCUUCAAAUGAGCAACAAAUACUACAUAUGCCUACACGGCCUCACCUCUACAUAAACCCGAGUGCAUAUAAGAAUUUGUUAAGGUUGUUACUAGUUAGUACUCAAAUCAUAAAAAUACUGUAGAAUACGAAAGCGCCAAAACAAGGAAGACCAAAAAAAAAAAAAGCGUUGGGAAGUUUCCUCCUUCCACUGUGUCUUUCCAGUAGAAGGAAAAGAGGAAAAAACGUGUCCAAUGAUAAAUUUGUUUUCCAAAUUUCCUGAAUAUUCAUUAAAAUACCCCUUUUAAUGCGGUUGAUUCAGAUCAAUCAAAUUACCCCGGAAGAACACCCAAAUCCCUUCUUCCGGCUGGUAAUCCCCAAUUCAGUUAAUUGUUUCCUCAGAUUUCGAGAUGGGUUCUUCGGAUAGUACAACGUUGUCAUCUUCAUCGAAUGUUGCCGGCUUAAUUGUUGAUGAUGAUCCUACUUUUGUCGAUUCUUUGCCUGUUUAUGUCAGGGAAUUGAUUGCUGGUGGUGCUGCUGGUGCUUUUGCUAAGACUGCUGUUGCCCCCCUUGAAAGAAUUAAGAUUCUUUUUCAGACACGAACGGAUGGGUUUCAUUCUCUUGGGGUCUACAGGUCACUGAAGAAGGUGCUAAAUCAUGAAGGGAUACAAGGGUUGUACAAAGGGAAUGGUGCAAGUGUCCUCCGGAUUGUUCCUUAUGCAGCUUUGCAUUACAUGGCGUAUGAGAGAUACCGGUUUUGGCUGUAUGAUAAAUGUACUUCCCUGGGGACAGGACCUGUUGUAGAUCUUAUAGCCGGCUCAGCAGCUGGUGGUACUGCAGUUUUAUGCACAUACCCCUUGGACUUGGCGAGGACAAAGCUUGCUUAUCAGGUAGUGGACAAACGGUCAACUUUCAGGAGCAGUUUGAACUGCAGCAACUCUUCUCCAUCAUAUAGUGGAGUAAAAGAUGUAUUUAAGCGUGUUUACAAUGAAGGCGGUGUGCGCGCCUUGUAUCGUGGCGUGGGACCAACACUUGUUGGAAUCCUUCCAUACGCUGGUUUGAAGUUCUAUAUAUACGAGGAGCUCAAAAGAAGAGUUCCUGAUGAGCAUCAAAAAUCCAUUGUAUUAAGGCUUUCUUGUGGAGCUUUAGCUGGAUUAUUUGGACAAACCUUCACAUACCCAUUGGAUGUUGUUAGACGACAAAUGCAGGUUGAAAAUUUGCAUCAAGGUGGAGCAAGGUAUAAAAACACCAUUGAAGGCCUUAGGGGGAUUGUUCAAAGUCAAGGAUGGAGGCAGUUGUUUGCUGGUCUGAGUAUUAACUACAUCAAAGUUGUCCCGUCUGUUGCCAUUGGGUUUACGACUUACGACAUUAUGAAGUCUUGGCUGAAUCUUUCAUAUCAGCACAAACGACAAGGGAUAUCUGGUGGGUGAAAUUCAAAUCGAAUCUAUCCAAGACAGCAAGGAAAGGUAGAGGAGGAAAUGUCAAAAUGGUGAUGAAAUAACAUACAGUUGGUACCUGAUAUCAGAGAAGAAGAAUCAUGGUUUGGAAUCAAAAGCCUACUAGUUGCAGGAACCCAAGCAACAAUUUGCAGAAGUAACACAAUUGUGCUAAACAACUUCUUUCUCAUUGCUCCCAGAAACUCAAACGAUAAGUAUUUUCUUUUUUAGUGAGAGAAAGAGAGAGUGAAAGAUGAUUCAGAUCACUUGGAGUUGAACAAUGCUAUGCAUGAUUCCAUGAUCAUUAUAUGUAUACAGUAUAUACUUCUUGCAUUGGGUCCCAAAUUUCUGCCAAUAAGAAAAAACACUGAAAAUCCAGAGAGAACCCUUAAGUUUACUGGCCUUUCUUCUUGCAUUGGGAGGAGAGAGAGAGAGAGAGAGAGAGAGAGAGAGAGAGAGAGGGGUUUGCUUGAAAGACAAGGGAUUGUGUCUUAUAUUUACUUUUCUACUGAGACACUGAUAACUCUUCUUAUAUCUAUGACAACACACUUGCAGAAAAGACAGAUUUUUUUUUUUUUUUUUUUUUUUUAGGGUAGCUUUGAAAGUUUGAUUGUCUAAUAAGAUGGCUCAAAUGACAGCUGCCAUUUAUGGAUCUGAGAAGUGAAAAGGAAGGGAAAAUAGGGAUGAGUCCUACAGGGCUACAAGAUCUCUGGAAUUGUUAGAAUAGGUAGAGCAUAGGGAUCCUUGACUGCAGUGCCUUUUCUCUGUAUUAUAUUAUUUGGUUCCUAGAAAAGGUAAGAGAUCUUCAGUUGCAGAAUCCUUUCUUCUUCCCUUAUUUAUUGAAUCCCAAUUUAUGAUUCAGUCACCUGUUUUGCAGGUUCCUUCUUCAUAGCUUCUUUAUUAAGUUUGUUACUCCUACUGGAGUACUCUUCCAGUAAACUCUCUCUCUCUUUUUUUUUUUUUUUAAAAAAAACUUUUGUGUGCUGUUAGAAAUUAUUAGCAGUACAUAUUCACUACUAUGUUGUUAGAAUAAAUGUCUAUGUUGCUCGGACUCAGAGUCGGCUAUUUGAGAUAAAAUCAGGACUCCAAGUAUCAUACUAAUAUUUGUGAUGUUCGGAAAAAAUGUUAAUGUCCUGAGAUGGAACUGGACUGUGAUAUAUAUUAUGGUAAAUUCUUUAUUUUUAGUGGUUGAGAAAAUGUGAUAAUUUAUAACAAAUUGAGGUUUAUGAGAGAUGGAAUUAGGUGACGUGACUUGUAAUACUACAUUACUGAGAAUUAUAUUGAAAGUCGUAUGUGUUGUUUGAGAGGUUAUAGACUUAUAGUGCUGACAUAUUUUCUGAUUUGCUGCAACUUAUUUCCUCUGGAUUUAUUAUUUUUAUAUCAGUUUCUGAAAUUCCAUUUCAGUAAUGCAGUAGGCUGAGAUUGGAGAGUGACUAUUGAUCCUUUUUAAAAAAAAAACAAAAAAAAUACUGUUAAUGUGUAGUGAUGCAGGUAAUGAGAUUAUCACUGUAUUUCGUAUUUAAUAAGUCUAAUGAAAUGUGAGGGUUUUUUUUUUUUUUUUUUUUUAAAAGGAAAAUAUGUGAGGUUUCAUACAUGUAAACUUUUAUUAUGUCUCUGUACUUAUCUCGCUGACGUGUGAUCCAACCUUACCAAAAAAAUAUUACCUCCGUUACAUAUUAUUUGCAACGAUUAGACAUUUUUCCUCUCUACUUUAUGUCAAAUCGUUGCAAAUAAUUUGUAACAGAUGUAGUAAAAAAAUUAAAAAAAAAAUCUUGGAUGGUUGCGUAGGUAGUGCAAGCACUUGUAGUAUCUACCCUAUUUACAAUUUUACAUGCCUGAAUUUCAUUUUGAGUAUGUCAAAAUAUUAAACAUUAUAUAUAGACUUUAUCCAAGUAAAAUAUUGUGUUUUUCCCCUAAAAAAAAAAAGUAAAAUAUUGUGUUUUUUUUCACAUAUCUUUUCCAUAUCACGGAUACUUUUUUCAAGUAAGAAAAUAGGUGUACAAGGAACGUGGGGAAAUCUCUAACCAAUGUUAACAAUUCUUAGCCUCAAAUUAGUCCACCUUAAACUUUUUUUUUUUUUUUUUUUUUUUUGAGAAUUUGGGCAAAA